rnacentral:tRNA from 1 species
GACUCAGUGGUUCAAUGGUAAAGCGCUCGUCGUGAAACCAGAGGGUCCUGGGUUCAAUUCCCCACAGGAUCG